GGAAAGGUUGUAGCUCAUGGUAGAGCAUCUGUCUUGCAUGCAGAAAGUCCCAGGUUUGAUUUCUGGCAUCUCCA